GUGUAAAUCUAUUGUCUGAUCCACACUCCGGAGCAGAAGGUGGCGGUAAUUCACCAAUAAGCUGGAUACCAACCGCUAUAAAACAAGAAGAAGACGAUGUUAUAUCCAAUCACAUGCGCAUAUUACUGUGAUGUAAGAGGUAACGUCCUCUUGGAAGAAGGUCACUGUGGUUUCAAAUUCUCAGUGGGAAAAUCUGGGUUUGAUGGCGUUCAAGAGGAGAGUUCUCUACAUUUGGCGCAACAGCUCAAAUGGAAACUAGAGCACAUGAUCAGAGUAAUGCUCCCACACAUGGCCUUAUGACUGUUGCUCCAGUGAAGAACCCAAGGUCCAGCCUUCCCCACUCAAGACAUGCCUGAGACAAGAGUGACUGUAUUCCAAGUAGAACAAUGCACGGGAGGCCUGUGAAUUUGGGCACUGUGAUUUGGAACUGUAUAGUACAUAAUAAGACUCUAUUGAGCUCUUCUAACCUUAUUAAAUAGCUAACAUGGAAAGCAUUUUUGAAAAUUAAGUAACAUGUAAAAAUGAAUGUGAUAUGUCUUUAAGGGUGUUUGCAAGCCCUUAAAAAGUCUUAAAUUGUCUUAAAUUUAUUUUUGUUCAUAAAAUUGUUUAAUACAUCAUGACAGUUGAAUAUAUCAUGGU